rnacentral:lncRNA from 13 species
GAUGCCCUGAGACAAGAAAGCCUCUGAGGUGGGGGUACUCAGAAGGGAAAAGCUGGGUCUCUUAGGCUGACCCCGUCUAGAAGGAUGAGCUGCGGUGUCUAUCAAGUACUUCUAUGUCUGCAGACAGGAGUCCAUAAAGUGUAACUGGAAUAAAAAAGCACUUCAGCCCGACAUUCACCUUUUGUGGGUGACCCCCGGCCAGCUGCUCAAUCCCUCUGUGCUCUCUUCCUCCAUCUAUGGAAUAGGGGCAAUAACAGUCCUAUUUUUCUCACUGGGAUGUCGUGGAGGAACAAAGAGACCUAUGCAGGAAGCCCGAGACUGAUGCAACCUCAAAGGCACUUGGAGAAAUCCAGACCAUGAAGGCUGCCUGCAUUGUUCGGUGUUAUCACCCAAGCUCCAUUCACCUCCCAGGUGAGGUCUGAAUUACACAUAGUUACUAGACUGAUGGUUACUGCUAGGAGGCUCUCAUUGUGAUGACAUGACUAAAGGCAAGUAGCAUUCAAACCUACCCUUGUCUGACAAUGUGCCCAAACUCAGAGUUGGAUGAGUGACCCAGUGCAGGUGCGUGCCUGGUCAUCUUCCAGCACUUCUUAUUGUGAGUUAAUUAAAGAGAAGAAAAACUUUGGGGAGUGGGGAACAUGCUGGUGUGAAUAGCACUAACCCUAAAUACCUUGGUUACCCACUUCUUUUGGUGACUUCCUCUCUUUUUAUGGACCUGUUUUGAAUGUUACUCAGCUCUGAUCAUGCUGCUUGCUUGCUACUAAGUGACUCACAAGAGCUUUUACCCCCUCGGUAAACCACAAGAGACAACACUCUCCACCACGCCUGAUGCUACGAGGUUUAAAUGCUCAGUGUGUCUCUCAUUUGAACUAAGAAAGAACACCUGUUUGGUUAAAUCCUGUGAACUUGCAGACUACUUCUGUAGAAACAACUGCGAUAACUUUCCAUUCUAAUGCAUUGGUUUCUGUUUUCCACCACGGAGCCAUUAUCCUCAUCCUUUACCGGCAGGGUUGUUAGGAUGGGGACAGCAAAGGAUUCUUAGAAAAAAGUGCCCCUGGGUUUCUGUUACAAAUUUGUCUUUUCAGAAAUGAUCCAUGUUUCUGACAUCCACUUCAUUCAAGGCAGCAGGGGAUGAUAAAAGGUGAUAUGGGGUAAGGGAGCACCUGGUCUCGUGU